AGCCUCUCCUUGCGCAGCCGCCGCCAAAGCCUGGAGAAGUGGAAUCUCGCCGGCGCCGUUCCCUAGCGGGACUCGCGGAGCGGCACUGGGCAUGCUCAGUCGCCGGAUCCCGUCUUGAGCUCAAGUAGGAAGCUCGUGCGCUGCACCCGCAGCUGAUCCGGGCGCUCCGGGGAGGGCGAGACUGGAGCAGAGCUGCCGGGCGCCGGAGCCGAGGCGAGCGCCGCGCGCACCGCCGACAUUUCCUUGGAUGUCCAUUGCCUAAGUGGAAGUAGGGAAAGAGGAGUAAGACCUGUUGGAGUUACUAAGGAUUAGCCCUAAGCUAACAUCUGCCAAUCCUCCUCUUUUUGUUGAGGAAGACUGGCCCUGAGCUAACAUCCGUGCCCAUCUUCCUCUACUUUAUACGUGGGACGCCUACCACAGCAUGGCUUGCCAAGCGGUGCCCUGUCUGCACCCGGGAUCCGAACCAGCGAACCCCAGGCUGCUGAAGUGGAACAUGCGAACUUAACCGCUGUGCCACCUGGCCGGCCCCUAGAUUUCCUUUUAGUUGAGGACUUGAAGUUAUUUCUACUAAAAUAAAUAAAGGAAGUCUUGCAUUCCAUCAACUUGUGUGUAAUUGUCUCCCGAUCAAAGUCAUCUCCUGCUGACUUCAGUUUUAUUUCAUCUUAAAUCAUUUUCCUUUACUGGUAUUAGAUCCUGCUGUUAUGUGUGUAUUUUACAAGCUGCAAGUGGAAAUAAGAAACAAAAAUAAGGUGUGGAGUUUUGUUGAAUUUUAUCUUUUUCCUCCCUUAGUUCUGAGAACAUGCGGAUUUCAAGAAAAGCCAAUAAAAAAAACUGGGGAAAAUGUUGAUUUGUGGCAUUAUUGUCCUUAUUUCCUGUAAAGAAAACAGGAUUUUCAUUAGAUGCUGUUGUGCUGUUUUCCAUUGAGAAAGAUAAUAGUGGGAUGGAUGGCUGCAUUCGGAGUUUAUAUGCAU
rnacentral:lncRNA from 1 species